AACUCCAAACCUGCCGACUGCCGCCGUCCGCCGUGCCGUUGUCGUUGUCUGUCUGUCUGUCCGCCUUGGCUGGCCCGGCAAGCGUGUCUGAACUCGCGGCCGCGGCCGAGUUCUUCACUUCAGUUCGGCGAGCGCUGAAAGAUAGAUUGGCCGUGCUCGACCACGGACCGCGUUUCGCCUCGUUGUCACGUCUGUUCGUCCCGUUCCGCGGCCGCGGAGCGACGUUCCUACCUGUGACAGCCAAGUCGACGAGCGUCCUGCCCUUUGCAAAGUGACACAGAUACAUUCUACGAACCAUCCAUCCUGUGUUGUUUGUUGACUGCCAACCCCGUACCCCUCCUAACCUAACAGGUGCCUCCUUGACCCGCCGCGCUAGCCGCGCUUCGCCAUGCCGACUGUGUCCAGCCACGACGUCCUGGGCCCCAUGACCUGGGGCGCGGGCGGCAACUCUCGGCAGCGGUACUUCCCGCAGGACUCGUUGGACCGGAGCGACGCUCGCAGCGGCAUCAACUCGCUCUUGUUCGAGGAGAGCGGCGCCGCCGGCGCGUGCAGUGCCGGGGGCAGCGUCGCGGCGGCGUCUGAGCACGCGUACUCCAGCAACUGCCACAGGAACAGUCUGGUGUCCGCCAACGGCUACUAUGGCUUCCAUCAGCAGCAUGGCACCGGCGCCGCGGUCCUCGACCAGGAUUGCUCAAUGGACACCGACACCAGUGAAAAUAACCCCCCGGUGGCCGCGGUGCCGGCGGUGCCUGGCCCCCCCUGUGCCUUUGGCGGCAGCCCAAGUGCCGGCGCGGUGGGAUUCUGCGGCGGGGCCCAGCAGGCCGCAGCCCCUCAGGCCGCAGCCCCUCAGGCCUUCCCCUUGGGCCUGGCUCCGCAGCGUGUUUGGAAUGCCGACCCGUUCAGGAGCCACGGGCAUGCCUCGGCAGCAACGCGGAAGAGGAGCAUGGAGGCGCGCGGGCUGGGGCUCGCGCAGGGGCAAGGGGCCGGGGGUUGGCGCGACCAGCGCGACGCGGACGCCGACGACAUGGCGGGCUGCGGCGGCAAGCGCACGCGGCCCUCCCUGCCAUCUCCGAGUGAAGAGGCACACGCGGCUGCGAUGACAAUGACAGAGGCUCCAUCCCAGGCCAUGGCCCACGAAGGCAAUAGCUUUGGCAUGCAAGUCAGUGCUCCAAGCACCUCAGAGCAAUCUCAUUCCCCAGCUCUCGUGUAUGAGCUCCCAAUACAUCAACUGCCAGGAUCGACUUCUCAACUGGCGGAUGCAAUGACACCUCGACCUCGAUGCCUAAUGGGCCAUUUCAUAUAGCUUUAUUACUUUGUAGAGGCAGUGAUAUGAUGCUUGUUAAUGUAUUGUAAUUGGUACUUAAAGAUAUUACGGGUGGUGUUGUCAGAAGUGAAAACAUGUGUGGAGGAGAAAUGCAGCUGAGAAUAUUAGAAGAUACUGACCUGGCUGCUUUAGAAACUCUACUUAAGCACACGCAUGGCUGUGAUUAUUACAAUUACGAAA
rnacentral:misc_RNA from 1 species